AGAGUUUGAUCCUGGCUCAGGACGAACGCUGGCGGCACGCUUAACACAUGCAAGUCGAACGAGAGAAGAGGAGCUUGCUUUUCUGAUCUAGUGGCGGACGGGUGAGUAACACGUGAGCAAUCUGCCUUUCAGAGGGGGAUACCGAUUGGAAACGAUCGUUAAUACCGCAUAACAUAAUUGAACCGCAUGAUUUGAUUAUCAAAGAUUUAUCGCUGAAAGAUGAGCUCGCGUCUGAUUAGCUAGUUGGUAAGGUAACGGCUUACCAAGGCGACGAUCAGUAGCCGGACUGAGAGGUUGAUCGGCCACAUUGGGACUGAGACACGGCCCAGACUCCUACGGGAGGCAGCAGUGGGGAAUAUUGCACAAUGGAGGAAACUCUGAUGCAGCGAUGCCGCGUGAGGGAGGAAGGUUUUAGGAUUGUAAACCUCUGUCUUCAGGGACGAAAAAAGACGGUACCUGAGGAGGAAGCUCCAGCUAACUACGUGCCAGCAGCCGCGGUAAUACGUAGGGAGCGAGCGUUGUCCGGAAUUACUGGGUGUAAAGGGAGCGUAGGCGGGAUCGCAAGUCAGAUGUGAAAACUAUGGGCUUAACCCAUAAACUGCAUUUGAAACUGUGGUUCUUGAGUGAAGUAGAGGUAAGCGGAAUUCCUAGUGUAGCGGUGAAAUGCGUAGAUAUUAGGAGGAACAUCAGUGGCGAAGGCGGCUUACUGGGCUUUAACUGACGCUGAGGCUCGAAAGCGUGGGGAGCAAACAGGAUUAGAUACCCUGGUAGUCCACGCCGUAAACGAUGAUUACUAGGUGUGGGGGGACUGACCCCUUCCGUGCCGCAGCAAACGCAAUAAGUAAUCCACCUGGGGAGUACGACCGCAAGGUUGAAACUCAAAGGAAUUGACGGGGGCCCGCACAAGCAGUGGAGUAUGUGGAUUAAUUCGAAGCAACGCGAAGAACCUUACCAGGUCUUGACAUCGUAUGCAUAGCUCAGAGAUGAGUGAAAUCUCUUCGGAGACAUAUAGACAGGUGGUGCAUGGUUGUCGUCAGCUCGUGUCGUGAGAUGUUGGGUUAAGUCCCGCAACGAGCGCAACCCUUACUGUUAGUUGCUACGCAAGAGCACUCUAGCAGGACUGCCGUUGACAAAACGGAGGAAGGUGGGGAUGACGUCAAAUCAUCAUGCCCCUUAUGACCUGGGCCUCACACGUACUACAAUGGCUGUCAACAGAGGGAAGCAAAGCCGCGAGGUGGAGCGAACCCCUAAAAGCAGUCUUAGUUCGGAUUGUAGGCUGCAACCCGCCUACAUGAAGUCGGAAUUGCUAGUAAUCGCAGAUCAGCAUGCUGCGGUGAAUACGUUCCCGGGCCUUGUACACACCGCCCGUCACGCCAUGGGAGUCGGUAACACCCGAAGCCUGUAGUCUAACCGCAAGGAGGACGCAGUCGAAGGUGGGAUUGAUGACUGGGGUGAAGUCGUAACAAGGUA
rnacentral:rRNA from 1 species